rnacentral:rRNA from 1 species
GCAAGUCGAACGGAGCUUAGAGAGCUUGCUUUUUAAGCUUAGUGGCGAACGGGUGAGUGACGCGUGAGUAACCUACCCUAGAGUGGGGGACAACAGUUGGAAACGACUGCUAAUACCGCAUAAGCCCACGGUACCGCAUGGUACUGAGGGAAAAGGAUUUAUUCGCUUUAGGAUGGACUCGCGUCCAAUUAGCUAGUUGGUGAGGUAACGGCCCACCAAGGCGACGAUUGGUAGCCGGACUGAGAGGUUGAACGGCCACAUUGGGACUGAGACACGGCCCAGACUCCUACGGGAGGCAGCAGUGGGGGAUAUUGCACAAUGGGGGAAACCCUGAUGCAGCGACGCCGCGUGGAGGAAGAAGGUUUUCGGAUUGUAAACUCCUGUCGUUAGGGACGAUAAUGACGGUACCUAACAAGAAAGCACCGGCUAACUACGUGCCAGCAGCCGCGGUAAAACGUAGGGUGCAAGCGUUGUCCGGAAUUACUGGGUGUAAAGGGAGCGCAGGCGGGAAGACAAGUUGGAAGUGAAAACCAUGGGCUCAACCCAUGAAUUGCUUUCAAAACUGUUUUUCUUGAGUAGUGCAGAGGUAGAUGGAAUUCCCGGUGUAGCGGUGGAAUGCGUAGAUAUCGGGAGGAACACCAGUGGCGAAGGCGGUCUACUGGGCACCAACUGAC